rnacentral:lncRNA from 1 species
AAAAGGAGUUACUGCCAUUACAUUGGUUUUGCGUGGGCGUAUAGCUACACUUAGCUUUACAACUUUUCAUAGCGAAUGAGAUGUCAAGUCUUUCGUAUUGUGUUGAGUACAUUGAUGCGUCUAAUUGUACUUAAAUGGGAACUCCAUCUCUUAACACAUAUUUGUCAUCUUGCUUUAGACAAAACAACGGAUCUCUCUUUAGAGCAAAGACCUUGACUAAUCAUGGGAGUAUAUGUAGGCCUCACUAGUUAUAGAGCGCCUAAGCCGAUUGAUGGAAAAUCAUCAUCAAUACAGUCAUCGAGUGCCUUAUCGAGACCAUGUCUUCCCAAGAUCUUUUUCUUCGGAUGUUGAUACAUAUUGGCAUCUCUUGAUCCAUCAAGAGUCCAUGUAAAUCCGGAAUGAACACGCAAAGGCAUAAUUCACCAUAUCCCUUCCAAAUCAAGUAGAGUCCAUGUGCAUUUCAAUACAUUUAGCAAACGCAUGCUCCUAUGGUUUGGAGUCACUUGAUUCAGAUGAAUGAAGUCUGUUUAAGACCUUCAUGUAUAUCUCUGAUCCCAUAGAGAUGUUAUUAUGACCACAUUCAUAGGCUGCAUGUUCAGUUAUUCGGAAACUACCAAACUGACAAAGUAGUGGAGUUCAAUGACAUCCAUUACGAGAGCAUAUCUCAUCGUAGUUGAUCCCAGUGCGUGUUAGUGAGAGACCUUGUACCAUAAGGUGAGUCUAAGCUCUUGUUCUCACUACGCUAUCUAACAAAGGUAUAGUUGAUAGGGUUUAGCUUGCGGUGUCGGCAUCACCUGCCCAAGGACCUAUCUCUUUGUUAAUGCUGGAUCGCAUCUUUCCAUUAGGCCAAUCAACUAAGUUGAUAUCAAUCAACUAAGUUGAUAUCCAUCAACGAAGGGUGAUUCGAUAGUAGACUCAUUAUCUCACGUCCUCAUAUACACUAGUGUAAUACUUGUAGAGAUCUCUAUAUGGAUUGGAUUUGACAUUGAGGCGUCCC